AUUUACAUGAGAGUUUGAUCCUGGCUCAGGACGAACGCUGGCGGCGUGCCUAAUACAUGCAAGUCGAACGGUUCUUUCUUUUGGAAGCUUGCUUCCGAUCGAGAGAAUAGUGGCGAACGGGUGAGUAACACGUGGGUAACCUGCCCAUAAGAGGGGGAUAAC
rnacentral:rRNA from 1 species